rnacentral:lncRNA from 1 species
AAAGCACAGCAGCAGUGCUGGACUCUGCUUUCUCUCUCCUGCAGUCUCAGCCAGGACCUUGCUCUGCAGGUGACCCAGGACAGCAGCACAAGCUCAGGACAGGAAGUUUAAAAAGUAUUGCUGAAGACCCUCUCCCAGCCCAAAAUGAAGAUCCUUUCCAGGUCUGCAGUCACAUCAACAGUAGGCUGCAGGACAGCAUCCACCAGAGAUGCACCGACUGCCAGAGAAAAGGAGAGACAACACAGAGGCACCUGGAGCUGCCCUGAUCAGGUGAAGUAUUGACAAAUCCCCUAUUUGGAUUUUUUUUAACCUUUUUACCACAAUCAGCAGAUAAAAAUUAUUCUAAAUGGG